ACGGGUGAGUAAUGUCUGGGAAACUGCCUGAUGGAGGGGGAUAACUACUGGAAACGGUAGCUAAUACCGCAUAACGUCGCAAGACCAAAGAGGGGGACCUUCGGGCCUCUUGCCAUCAGAUGUGCCCAGAUGGGAUUAGCUAGUAGGUGGGGUAACGGCUCACCUAGGCGACAAUCCCUAGCUGGUCUGAGAGGAUGACCAGCCACACUGGAACUGAGACACGGUCCAGACUCCUACGGGAGGCAGCCAUG
rnacentral:rRNA from 1 species